CGGGCGGACGGGUGAGUAACGCGUAGGCAACCUGCCCCAUACAAAGGGAUAGCAUUUGGAAACGAAUAUUAAUACCUUAUGAAACUUAACUAGUGCAUGCUAGGUAGGUCAAAGAUUUAUCGGUAUGGGAUGGGCCUGCGUCUGAUUAGCUAGUUGGUGAGGUAACGGCUCACCAAGGCGACGAUCAGUAGCCGACCUGAGAGGGUGAACGGCCACAUUGGAACUGAGACACGGCCCAA
rnacentral:rRNA from 1 species